rnacentral:rRNA from 1 species
AUUGAACGCUGGCGGCAGGCCUAACACAUGCAAGUCGAGCGGAUGAAGGGAGCUUGCUCCUGGAUUCAGCGGCGGACGGGUGAGUAAUGCCUAGGAAUCUGCCUGGUAGUGGGGGAUAACGUCCGGAAACGGGCGCUAAUACCGCAUACGUCCUGAGGGAGAUAGUUGGGGAUCUUCGGACCUCACGCUAUCAGAUGAGCCUAGGUCGGAUUAGCUAGUUGGUGGGGUAAAGGCCUACCAAGGCGACGAUCCGUAACUGGUCUGAGAGGAUGAUCAGUCACACUGGAACUGAGACACGGUCCAGACUCCUACGGGAGGCAGCAGUGGGGAAUAUUGGACAAUGGGCGAAAGCCUGAUCCAGCCAUGCCGCGUGUGUGAAGAAGGUCUUCGGAUUGUAAAGCACUUUAAGUUGGGAGGAAGGGCAGUAAGUUAAUACCUUGCUGUUUUGACGUUACCAACAGAAUAAGCACCGGCUAACUUCGUG